GAAAUCUGCCUAUAAGUUGGGGACAACCCUUGGAAACAGGGGCUAAUACCGAAUAAGCUCUAUGGAGUAAAGUGUGCCUAUCCUUGGAAGCACACGCUUAUAGAUGAGUCUGCGUUGGAUUAGCUAGUUGGUGGGGUAAGGGCCUACCAAGGCGACGAUCCAUAGCUGGUUUGAGAGGAUGAUCAGCCACACUGGGACUGAGACACGGCCCAGACUCCUACGGGAGGCAGCAGUGGGGAAUAUUGGACAAUGGGGGCAACCCUGAUCCAGCAAUGCCGCGUGUGUGAAGAAGGCCCGAGGGUUGUAAAGCACUUUCAAUAGAGAAGAAGGGGUGUGUGUUAAUAGCGCGCAUCAUUGACGUAACCUAUAGAAGAAGCACCGGCUAACUCUGUGCCAGCAGCCGCGGUAAUACAGAGGGUGCAAGCGUUAAUCGGAAUUACUGGGCGUAAAGCGCGCGUAGGCGGUUAGUUAAGUUGGAUGUGAAAGCCCCGGGCUCAACCUGGGAUGGUCAUUCAAAACUGGUUAACUAGAAUGUGAUAGAGGACAGUGGAAUUCCUAGUGUAGCGGUGAAAUGCGUAGAUAUUAGGAGGAACAUCAGUGGCGAAGGCGACUGUCUGG
rnacentral:rRNA from 1 species